rnacentral:rRNA from 1 species
AAUUUGAAAUCUGGCCCUUUCGGGGUCCGAGUUGUAAUUUGUAGAGAGUGUUUCGGGCGAGACCACGGUCUAAGUCCAUUGGAACAUGGCGUCAUAGAGGGUGAGAAUCCCGUCUGCGACCGUGGCUCGAGCCCAUGUGAAGCCUCUUCGACGAGUCGAGUUGUUUGGGAAUGCAGCUCAAAAUGGGUGGUAAAUUUCAUCUAAAGCUAAAUACUGGCUGGAGACCGAUAGCGCACAAGUAGAGUGAUCGAAAGAUGAAAAGCACUUUGGAAAGAGAGUUAAACAGUACGUGAAAUUGUUGAAAGGGAAGCGCUUGCAACCAGACCUGUCCGUAGGUGAUCAGCCGCUGUUCUCAGCGGUGCACUCGCUCUGCGAUCAGGCUAGCAUCGGUUUCGGCGACCGGAUAAAGGCCUUGGGAAUGUAGCUUCCUUUCGGGGGAGUCUUAUAGCCUUCGGUGCAAUGCGGCCAGCCGGGACCGAGGACCGCGCUUCGGCUAGGAUGCUGGCGUAAUGGUUGUAAGCGACCC